GAGUUUGAUCUUGGCUCAGAUUGAACGCUGGCGGCAGGCCUAACACAUGCAAGUCGAGCGGAUGAGUGGAGCUUGCUCCAUGAUUCAGCGGCGGACGGGUGAGUAAUGCCUAGGAAUCUGCCUGGUAGUGGGGGACAACGUUUCGAAAGGAACGCUAAUACCGCAUACGUCCUACGGGAGAAAGCAGGGGACCUUCGGGCCUUGCGCUAUCAGAUGAGCCUAGGUCGGAUUAGCUAGUAGGUGGGGUAAUGGCCCACCUAGGCGACGAUCCGUAACUGGUCUGAGAGGAUGAUCAGUCACACUGGAACUGAGACACGGUCCAGACUCCUACGGGAGGCAGCAGUGGGGAAUAUUGGACAAUGGGCGAAAGCCUGAUCCAGCCAUGCCGCGUGUGUGAAGAAGGUCUUCGGAUUGUAAAGCACUUUAAGUUGGGAGGAAGGGCAGUAAGUUAAUACCUUGCUGUUUUGACGUUACCAACAGAAUAAGCACCGGCUAACUUCGUGCCAGCA
rnacentral:rRNA from 1 species